CUGCACAGGGUGCGGUGUCUCUGAGCAAACCCCUCCGGCGGCAGUGCGGUGAGCACCGGGCCCGUCGUGCGGUAUCUGCCGCGCGGCCCAUUCCAGGCCCUAAUGGACUCCAAAGACCUGCUGCUGUGACUUCUUAGUAGCCACCAGGACCCGCGCCCGCUUGCCGACGGCUCCUCAAGGCAGGGCCAGAGGAUACCGCAGCGACACGCGCAGAGGCCGCCCGCUCCCGCGACAGGCCGCUCCCACCUCGCGCGCCCACAGCCAACCCCGGCCUACCGUUGCUGUAGGCGUACGGGGAUUCAGCUGCGCCGUCCUGAAGGCUCUCCAGGAUCUCGCCUUUGCCCACGUCGCUGUCGCCCACCAGCAGGAACUUGAGCAGACAAAGCUGGCCAAGAAACAGAAUAUAGAAACAGCCUCACCCGUUCACCCAGCUCCAGCUCCUCUUUCCUACUGGGAUGACCUCCACAGAUCUCACAAAGCUGAGAGGAGCCCACUGCUGCCCCAGAUUCCUGGCCUGGCAACAAACAGACCCAGCAGGCAUCCGCACUGACGGAGCAGAAGAGAGCCCACAAGACUUCCACGGAGACACUGCUUUGACUCUACUGAGAUGAGAUGGAGAACCGAGACGUUCCAUGGCCAGGUAGAAAUGAGGUGAAGGAACCAGCAUGAAUGUGCUGUACAUACCGUGUACGAGAGCAUGGGGAGUAGAGAGGACAGCCUGUGCCUCUUGUCUCCAGUGUAAGAGCAAUCUGGCAAUAGUGUGGACAGCCCAGCAACAGCCCCGAGCCAGAGUUGUGCUAAGGUUGGCUUUCAUCUGGUAUAUAAGCUUAGCAUGGAAAGGGGGCCCAUGAAAGCCUCAACCAAAGUGGCCCUCAGACACUGCCACCUUCAGGAAGGGGCAGCAGGCAAUUCACCAAUGCUGCCCUGAGAGACAUAGGUCCCAAGAGCUAAGAAAUAUCUCAGGCUGGGGCCAAAGGCUGGGUCUCUAGGGUGAGGACAGGGAAGAGCUGUUCCUGCCAGCUGAAGGACUGCCCAAGAGGAUUCCCAACCCUCAGGAAGCUGGGCUCCACCCAAUCCACUCACAUCAGCCACAGGGACCAGGGCAUUGGCCAGCUGUCCAAUUCGGUUAUUGCUGUGGAGCCAAGAGAGCAGCAGCAAGCCAAGGGCCACAUCCAGUAGCACAGAAACCAGCAUGUUGGCCUUCCUGGAAGGAAAGUCAGGGAAAGCACAGCUACAGACACAGCCUGAAAGGCCUGGCUGCAGGCACAAUGCAAAGCGGAGAGGAAGAAGAGGAUGGGCCGCCCCCUUCCUUGUAUAGGAAACCAUACCUCAUCAGCUGCAUGGGAUUCUGGGCUUUCUCCGUGCUGAAGAUGAAGGAGAGGUGCUUCAGCCGGUGAUGGAGCUGCUCACAAGUGGAGAGCUUGCUUCUGAUGAAGGAAAGUGGCCACAGCUUCCAUAGCCUGGGGGGAAUAUAAGGGCUGAGACUGACACCUCCAGCCUUAGGUUCCUUGGUUUCCCAGCCUAGGUUUCUCACUCUAGAAAGAAGACCCGGAGUCACUCACCCUGAGCCCUUUGGUUCCACUUGAAGGCUCAGCAGGGCCCAGGCAAAUGUGAAGACCAACACAGCCAAGCACGGAUGCAUAGAUGUGAAAAGCACAGCACCUUCCUGCCCCCAACCCCCAGCCGUGCUUACUGCUACUACAGAGCUGGACCCCUCGCAGAGCCUCAGGCAUACCUGAGCUCCCCAGCCAAUGCAAAGAUGAGUGUCAAGAUAGCUGAAAAGAUAGCCAGUCGUGGUAGCACGUGCCUUUAAUCCCAGGACUCAGGAGGCUGAGGCAAAUAGAUCAGCUUAGUAAGGGCUACCCUUUCCCCGAAAGAUGGCCAAAAAAGUAGAGGGGGAGGGGGGGACUAGGUCAUCUCUCAUCCACCCAAGACUUGCCCUGCCUACUACACGGUAACCCAGCUCAGCAAGGUUCUCCUGGGCUUUCCAGUAAGACUGAAUUCCUCACAAAGGAAGCAUUGAGACAUUUCCACAGAUGCUCACAUAGUAAGAGAUGUCUUCAAGCCAAGG
ensembl:processed_transcript Gm16278 predicted gene 16278